AACGAACGCUGGCGGCAUGCCUAACACAUGCAAGUCGAACGAGACCUUCGGGUCUAGUGGCGCACGGGUGCGUAACGCGUGGGAACCUGCCCUUAGGUUCGGAAUAACUCCCCGACAGGGGUGCUAAUACCGGAUAAUGUCUUCGGACCAAAGAUUUAUCGCCUUUGGAUGGGCCCGCGUUGGAUUAGCUAGUUGGUAGGGUAAAAGCCUACCAAGGCGACGAUCCAUAGCUGGUCUGAGAGGAUGAUCAGCCACACUGGGACUGAGACACGGCCCAGACUCCUACGGGAGGGAGCAGUGGGGAAUAUUGGACCAUGGGCGAAAGGCUGAUCCAGCAAUGACGGGUGAGUGAUGAAGGCCUUAGGGUUGUAAAGCUCUUUUACCCGGGAUGAUAAUGACAGUACCGGGAGAAUAAGCCCCGGCUAACUACGUG
rnacentral:rRNA from 1 species